rnacentral:rRNA from 1 species
UACGUAGGCAGCGAGCGUUGUUCGGAGUUACUGGGCGUAAAGGGUGCGUAGGCGGUUGUUUAAGUCUGCUGUGAAAGCGCCUGGCUUAACCGGGCGAGGUCGGUGGAAACUCCUGGUCUAGAGGCCGGUAGAGGGGGGUGGAAUUCCGGGUGUAGCAGUGAAAUGCGUAGAUAUGCGGAGGAACACCGAUGGCGAAGGCAAUCCCCUGGGCCUGUACUGACGCUCAUGCACGAAAGCGUGGGGAGCAAACAGG